rnacentral:rRNA from 1 species
AUUGAACGCUGGCGGCAUGCUUUACACAUGCAAGUCGAACGGUAACAGGCCUUCGGGCGCUGACGAGUGGCGAACGGGUGAGUAAUGCAUCGGAACGUGCCCAGUCGUGGGGGAUAACGCAGCGAAAGCUGUGCUAAUACCGCAUACGAUCUGCGGAUGAAAGCGGGGGACCUUCGGGCCUCGCGCGAUUGGAGCGGCCGAUGUCAGAUUAGGUAGUUGGUGGGGUAAAGGCUCACCAAGCCAACGAUCUGUAGCUGGUCUGAGAGGACGACCAGCCAAACUGGGACUGAGACACGGCACAGACUCCGACGGGAGGCAACAGUGGGGAAUUUUGGCCAAUGGGCGCAAGCCUGAUCCAGCAAUGCCGCGUGCAGGAAGAAGGCCUUCGGGUUGUAAACUGCUUUUGUACGGAGCGAAAAGGCUCCCUCUAAUACAGGGGGCUCAUGACGGUACCGUAAGAAUAAGCACCGGCUAACUACGUGCCAGCAGCCGCCGUAACAC